GAUGAACGCUGGCGGCGUGCCUAAUACAUGCAAGUCGAGCGAACAGACGAGGGGCUUGCUCCUUUGACGUUAGCGGCGGACGGGUGAGUAACACGUGGAUAACCUACCUAUAAGACUGGGAUAACUUCGGGAAACCGGAGCUAAUACCGGAUAAUAUAUUGAACCGCAUGGUUCAAUAGUGAAAGACGGUUUUGCUGUCACUUAUAGAUGGAUCCGCGCCGCAUUAGCUAGUUGGUAAGGUAACGGCUUACCAAGGCGACGAUGCGUAGCCGACCUGAGAGGGUGAUCGGCCACACUGGAACUGAGACACGGUCCAGACUCCUACGGGAGGCAGCAGUAGGGAAUCUUCCGCAAAGGGCGAAAGCCUGACGGAGCAACGCCGCGUGAGUGAUGAAGGUCUUCGGAUCGUAAAACUCUGUUAUUAGGGAAGAAAAAAUGUGUAAGUAAAUAUGCACGUCUUGACGGUACCUAAUCAGAAAGCCACGGCUAACUACGUG
rnacentral:rRNA from 1 species